rnacentral:rRNA from 1 species
CCUACGGUCAGCUGCAGUGGGGAAUAUUGGACAAUGGGCGAAAGCCUGAUCCAGCCAUGCCGCGUGUGUGAAGAAGGCCUUCGGGUUGUAAAGCACUUUCAGUGGGGAAGAAAGCCUUGGGGCUAAUACCCUCGAGGAAGGACAUCACCCACAGAAGAAGCACCGGCUAACUCCGUGCCAGCAGCCGCGGUAAUACGGAGGGUGCGAGCGUUAAUCGGAAUUACUGGGCGUAAAGCGCGCGUAGGCGGUCUGAUAAGCCGGUUGUGAAAGCCCCGGGCUCAACCUGGGAACGGCAUCCGGAACUGUCAGGCUAGAGUGCAGGAGAGGAAGGUAGAAUUCCCGGUGUAGCGGUGAAAUGCGUAGAGAUCGGGAGGAAUACCAGUGGCGAAGGCGGCCUUCUGGACUGACACUGACGCUGAGGUGCGAAAGCGUGGGUAGCAAACAGGAUUAGAUACCCCUGUAGUC